ensembl:lncRNA
GUUGCUGAAGGCUGUGAAUCUGGCUGGUCUCAUGACUGCCACAACUCUCUAUCCACUCUUUGUUUGUUUGCCUGCAGGUUAAAUUUGCUCUCAAUAACAAGUAUAAAAGAAGACCAUCUUCUCCUUUCUAGCAGAGAGUCUAUUUCCAGUUACAGAACUGCUUUGGUUGAUACAGAAUACUUUAGAUAAACUAUAAGACAGGGGAAAUAGGCAAGCAUUAGAAAAAAAACAAUGGGAUACUAUAACAGGAAAUAGAAUGACUAGGUAGUGUUUGGUUGAACAUCAUAGAUUUGUCUUUCUUGUAGUAUUUUGUGCUAUGUAGCAGGAAAAUUAGGGUUGGAAGGGAAAAUUUCAGUUUUUAAGCCAUCUGGAGUUGUCUUCUUUCUGCUAGCAUUGUUAAGUGUUUGACCGUGUGCUUUUGCACACUGGCCACUAACAUAGAAGAUGAGUAAUUGUAAGAAAGAGUUGAGUGAGAGAGAGAAAGAACGACUGCUCAUCCGCAGGGCCAGCGGAGCCAACGCCUCUCAGCUGGCUCAUAUGGAAAAGAUGCUACAAGAAACCAAAGGCCUGCUGGAGAAGAAGACAGAGACGGAUUCAGAAAGCAAAGCCUGUGGAGACACUAUGGUGUCUGAUCUGGAGCAGAAGGUCCAGCGCAGCAAGCGAGACCGUCGUAACUCUCUCCACCGCACACAGCUGCUGGAGAGUCAGAUGAAGACGGUUCGCGGUGAGCUCGUUGGCACGCUUGACCACCUGCAGGAGCUGCGCAACAUACUGCGACGCUCGCAGCAGAACGCAGAAGAGCGGGAAGCAGCCAUGCAAAAACUAGCUGCAGGGCUGAGGUGAGACACCACCUGUCUGCCUGCAGUCCCUGUGUUACCACAUCCAUCCAUUCAUCUCAUCAUAAAGACUUUAAAGCACUGUUCCUCUGAAAUAUCUGUUUGACUGCACAUCCAGAACGAUGCCAUUUUUCACAUUGGCUCAUACAUUCCUGUGCAACCCCAUGCUGUUGUAAAAUCUAUGUUAAAUGAUUGAAGCAUGCCGCAGUUAUUUAAAGGGCAUGGUUUUAUUCUCUUAAGAUAGAAGUAGUUCUCCUUUUGGUUGAUGAGAACUCUGUUUGGUAUCUGGUUUUUAUAUCCUGUUGUCAGCGAAAUGCAGCCUUAAAGCAUAAUUUCAAUCAUAUAAAGAAAUGUCUAUAUAAGUAUAUAGACAUCCAUUGAAUGCCUUGUUAACUUGUGAAUUAAAUUUCACACCCUGUCACAUCUGACACAUUUUAUUGUGCCAAUUCAUGUGUGAUGGCUUCAGCCAAGUGUUUAUUUGGGUUUAUGUCUUCACAGGAUUUGUUUUGUAAGACCACAGACUGUGUACAAUGUCUUGUAGCUUUGAGUUGUUUCAUAUGUGGUAUCUGCAAGGUCCAACAUUUCUUAAUAUGAAUGCUUUAGUCCCCUAUAUUCAUAGGUUCAGCUGCUUUUAUUGUUUAAUUUAUUCUAUUGUUUAUUCCUUUUACAUGAUCUGCAAUAUUACAUGCUGUUUCAACUAAUAUUAACCACCAAGUAAUGCAGGUGAAGAAUGUUUGCAUCUGGGCACUCAUUAAAAUAUCGAUAUGUCCUCCUCCAGGUUGUACUUUAUGAAAAGAAAAUUUUACCCCUAUUAAAAUGCACAGAGAAAUUUUUUAUUUGUUUAAAGUCUACUAUGAAGUAUGUUGGUAUACAUUUAAGUAGAUUUUCAUAGUGCUCAGGGCAACAUAAACAAAAAGAGUGUACCUUUAAGCCAUGAUUACUUUAUCACACAGAUUUAAUGCCCAUUACAAAACAAUCACUAAAAAUAUGAGCCUAAACAUUGCCUAUACAUACUAAAAAUAAAUGUAUGGAGCUCCACACA